AACGCACCUUGCACCCUUUGGUAUUCCGAAGGGUAUGCCUGUUUGAGUGUCUUGAACAAUUCAAAAGUCUAUCUUGUGCGUCGUUCGGUCUGUUUCGACAGCGCGGGCGUACGUGUGGGAUCGGUCGAGCUGAGCGUAGUGUGGUCGACGUUUGUUGACGAUGCUUGUGCGGCCGACGUGACACUUUUGGUCUUGAGCGUUGAUGCCAAUGUACGACUGACUUUUGUCGGUUGCCGAUUGGCUCGCUUUAAAUAAAUUAGCUUGGCCUUUGUUCGUCUGUUUGGACGAACGUUUUCCGCCCUCCUUUUAUGUGUCUGCCGUUGGCGGAGACAAGAGUGCGCCUAUGCAAAAACAAACAUGCGUGAUAAUGUUGGGUCUGCUUUGAUGGAACCUGCUUUCGCGUGUUUUGUAGCUUGGCGAACGGCUUUUGUGUCCUGCCUUAUGUUCUCUUGGAAACAAGGGUGCUUAAGAACGACGACUGGACAAAGAAGGAAGAGGGAUUCGAUAAAUCAAGAUUGCUGCUACUCAGAACAUAAGUGUUGAAAGGAGAACGAAAGAGAGAGAGAGAGAGAUGGUGCGCGAGGGGAAAAAGUAACUGUGUUCGCACGGUCACUGUCCUCCCACCGCCGUCCUCGCUUUCCCUUUCUCUUUUUUUCCCCCCCAAAAACAUUUACCAAAUUAUGAUUUGGACCUCAAAUCAGGUAGGACUACCCGCUGAACUUAA
rnacentral:misc_RNA from 1 species